rnacentral:lncRNA from 1 species
AGUGUGUAGACCUUGUACAAUAGAGCUUAUAGGCUAAUGAGAAGACAGGAAGAAACAACAGGAACACAUAUAGCUGGAAUGCAGAUGGGAUCUGUGCUACUUACGCUAGCCAUGGGAUGAUUAGAACAAGAUAAGAGACAUGAGGAAGACUUCUUCAAGGAGGUGCUCAAGCCAUGUUUUGGAAAAGAGAACUCAAGGUCUGGCAGGGAGAAAGGAGCAAGACUGCCUGGCAGCUCUUUAGAAAGUUGUGUGACGUAUGAACCAGUUCUUCCCUAUAUGAGAGUGUACCGUACAUCGCAGGCUGUCCAGCAUCGACCCCACUGAUGGAUGCUAGUAGUCCUCCCCGCCAGCACUCAACAUUGUGACAAGACCCCAGUAGAGAUGGUCCCCAAGCAUGCUAACCAUGAAGCAGUGAUAUCGCACAGCACCUGCUUCCAGCAGCCCGGAGCCAAGGGGCAAAAUGGAAAGAGUCAGCAUUUCUCUUUUAGGUUCUCUGCCUCUCUAGUGUGUAAGCUUUUAACCCCCACUACGCGUCUUCGUUCCAUUCUCCUCCAGUACCCAUUUUAGUGAGCUUCUGUUGUUUCUGCCCCAGGAUAUCUCUAACAAAGAACCAAGAUAUUUAUCAGGA